rnacentral:rRNA from 1 species
CAUUGUGGUUUAAUUCGAAGCAACGCGAAGAACCUUACCAGGCCUUUGACAUUGCAGAGAACUUUUCCAGAGAUGGAUUUGGUGCCUUCGGGAACUCUGACACAGGUGCUGCAUGGCUGUCGUCAGCUCGUGUCGUGAGAUUGUUGGGUUAAGUCCCGUAACGAGCGCAACCCUUGUCCUUAGUUACCAGCACGUUAUGGUGGGCACUCUAAGGAGACUGCCGGUGACAAACCGGAGGAAGGUGGGGAUGACGUCAAGUCAUCAUGGCCCUUACGGCCUGGGCUACACACGUGCUACAAUGGUCGGUACAAAGGGUUGCCAAGCCGCGAGGUGGAGCUAAUCCCAUAAAACCGAUCGUAGUCCGGAUCGCAGUCUGCAACUCGACUGCGUGAAGUCGGAAUCGCUAGUAAUCGUGAAUCAGAAUGUCACGGUGAAUACGUUCCCGGGCCUU